rnacentral:rRNA from 1 species
GGUUUAAUUCGAUGCAACGCGAAGAACCUUACCUGGUCUUGACAUCCCGGAGACCCUUAGGAAACUAGGGGGUGCUUCCAUCUGGAAGAAUCUGGAGACAGGUGCUGCAUGGCUGUCGUCAGCUCGUGUCGUGAGAUGUUGGGUUAAGUCCCGCAACGAGCGCAACCCUUGCCUUUAGUUGCCAGCAGUUCGGCUGGGCACUCUAAAGGGACUGCCGGUGUUAAACCGGAGGAAGGUGGGGAUGACGUCAAGUCCUCAUGGCCUUUAUGACCAGGGCUACACACGUACUACAAUGGCCGAUACAAAGGGCAGCGACACUGCGAGGUGAAGCCAAUCCCGUAAAAUCGGUCUCAGUCCGGAUUGGAGUCUGCAACUCGACUCCAUGAAGUUGGAAUCGCUAGUAAUCGUGGAUCAGCAUGCCACGGUGAAUACGUUCCCGGGCCUU